CUGUCUGAAUAUGGGGGGACCAUCCUCCAAGGCUAAAUACUCCUGACUGACCGAUAGUGAACCAGUACCGUGAGGGAAAGGCGAAAAGAACCCCGGCGAGGGGAGUGAAAAAGAACCUGAAACCGUGUACGUACAAGCAGUGGGAGCCCCACCACUAAGCCAGUGGUGAACUCCACAUCCGCAUCCUUUGCUGAGGAUACGGUUAACGGAGCGAAAGCGACGUUCAACCGCAAAACAAGCAGAGGGGGCUUAGUGGUGGGGUGACUGCGUACCUUUUGUAUAAUGGGUCAGCGACUUAUAUUCUGUAGCAAGGUUAACCGAAUAGGGGAGCCGGAGGGAAACCGAGUCUUAAUUGGGCGUUAAGUUGCAGGGUAUAGACCCGAAACCCGGUGAUCUAGCCAUGGGCAGGUUGAAGGUUGGGUAACACUAACUGGAGGACCGAACCGACUAAUGUUGAAAAAUUAGCGGAUGACCUGUGGCUGGGGGUGAAAGGCCAAUCAAACCGGGAGAUAGCUGGUUCUCCCCGAAAGCUAUUUAGGUAGCGCCUCGUGAAUUCAUCUCCGGGGGUAGAGCACUGUUUCGGCUAGGGGGCCAUCCCGGCUUACCAACCCGAUGCAAACUGCGAAUACCGGAGAAUGUUAUCACGGGAGACACACGGCGGGUGCUAACGUCCGUCGUGAAGAGGGAAACAACCCAGACCGCCAGCUAAGGUCCCAAAGUCAUGGUUAAGUGGGAAACGAUGUGGGAAGGCCCAGACAGCCAGGAUGUUGGCUUAGAAGCAGCCAUCAUUUAAAGAAAGCGUAAUAGCUCACUGGUCGAGUCGGCCUGCGCGGAAGAUGUAACGGGGCUAAACCAUGCACCGAAGCUGCGGCAGCGAACGUAUCACCCAAGACAACUUUACGGAGUUGACGAUUGACGGAGCGAAGCGACGUCAAAGCGUUCAUUAAAGUCGAGUUGGCUUAGGGAUACGUUCGUUGGGUAGGGGAGCGUUCUGUAAGCCUGUGAAGGUGUGUCGUGAGGCAUGCUGGAGGUAUCAGAAGUGCGAAUGCUGACAUAAGUAACGAUAAAGCGGGUGAAAAGCCCGCUCGCCGGAAGACCAAGGGUUCCUGUCCAACGUUAAUCGGGGCAGGGUGAGUCGACCCCUAAGGCGAGGCCGAAAGGCGUAGUCGAUGGGAAACGGGUUAAUAUUCCCGUACUUGGUGUUACUGCGAAGGGGGGACGGAGAAGGCUAUGUUGGCCGGGCGACGGUUGUCCCGGUUUAAGCGUGUAGGUGUGUGUUCCAGGUAAAUCCGGUUCACUUUAACACUGAGGCGUGAUGACGAGGCACUACGGUGCUGAAGCAACAAAUGCCCUGCUUCCAGGAAAAGCCUCUAAGCAUCAGGUA
rnacentral:rRNA from 1 species